CCUGUUAUGUGCGCUGCAACCUCGCCUUUGAAAGGACGGCAACCUUUCUUUUUAAUUACAAGUUUAAUGUUUGCUUAAGGUAAGUCAACCUGGCUGUGAUGCAACGUACGACGCCUGCGUUUUACUUGUGUUUAACAAUCGUUCUGUUGCAGACGAUGAACACAUUGCAAAUGGCGGCAGGAGUGGAUCCGCUACAUCGGUGAAGCGACGAUUUAUAUUACAAGCGAGGCUAAUUGUAUUCUUUCUUUAUAGGUGAACAUGGGACUGUAUCGACUACAAGGACGUAGUGUCCUGUCUUAACGGUCACGCAUAUGCGUGCAAAACUGCAACUGCUUCUUACAUCGAAGAGGGGUCUGGUGCCACAUGCUCGGACAAUUAUUCGUCGGCCAUUUCGUUUGAGGAACUGUCGUGUUCGUCACUAAGGAUGAUCUUGGUUGAGCUUUGCAGUGCCAGCCUGGUGCAUCGGAGGGGUUGUGUCCAUGCAACGUGUGCUCCAUAUGUGUGUGUGUUGGGAUUAGUGAACCGUGUAUGCUUUCCAUUCGGCCAACGAUGAUGUACUGGAUGAAAUUUAAAGAGCAUUCAAGAAAACCUGUGAAGCAAAAAAGCCGCUGCUUCUUGCUCGCUCUUUCGCUGCUCCUUGACGGCACAUUAAGCUUUGGCACACUUUGAUAUACUGGCGUCAGGAGUUUUAAAGCAGCGUUGCCCAGCAGGACUUUACAUCAUUCUUGUUGAAUGUUUCUUUUAAGACCCCAGAACUAAGGAAGACCGAGCUUUGUUAUGGCAAUGCACAAAGCAGAUGCUUUGUAUCCUGGCAAGCAAGAGUUUCAUGCCAUAUAUAGCUUCAGUGGUAAUUACGGUUAUAGUAUUGAUAUGUGGUGUUUGUCUGGUUUGGCCUCAUUAGCAAUACAAAGGAUUGUAACUGCGGUAGCAAUUGGACCUCAAGCACUAUGAAAUAAAGAACCUGUAUACUAAACCUACGCCUGGACUUUUCUUUUCAGGUGCAUUUCCCAAAUGCUGCAGUGGCUGUGCAUUUCGUGCUCGUGGAAAUUUCUUGUGUCCACAGUAAUUAGCAGAGAGGCACUCCCCUGAAUUAUGUAUGAGUAAUUCAACUCCUCAUUUAUUGGACUGCGUACAAGUGAAUAGAUUCACAGUUUCUGGCUGCUGGCAUUUGUGAGAACUAUAGCAUCUAUCUCUCAAGUAGCACAUGUAUUACUUGACAGAUAAACAACACCUUUUUGAAGGGUGUAAUAUUACCAGGGGUGUUAAAUUACACCCUAAAGGGAGUGAGUUAUAGCACUUUUGGAUUACACCCAAAAGGGUGUUUUUUAAGUAGCAAAUUACACCCUUUUUUGAGGUUGUAGCCGGUGGAAAAGGGUGUAAUAUUACACCCUAAAGGGAGUGAGUUAUCGCACUUUGGGAUUACACCCUUAUUACACCCUAAAGGGUGUAAAAAAAUUAAGA